AUACUUACCUGGACGGGGUCGACGGGCGAUCAACAAGGUCUGUGACCUAAAUCAACGGCUUCCAUUGCACUCGGGAUGUGCGUUGGUUUACCAUCUCCCCAAGCGGGAGAGUGGACGUCGUAAUUUGUUAAUGAGGGGGGUACGCGCCUGCGCGGCCCCCAU